AACACUAGACUAACUCUAACAAAAAACGAUGUCUAAUUGAAAAAUAUAUUGGCUUCUUGAAACUGGGUACAUCGUGUAGUCGUUAUUCCUUUAUGGCAUUUAGCUGAACUCUAAGGAAGUCCAAAGCGGUAAUCCAUAAAUACUUGACGUAAAGAUUGAAGGGGACAUGUGUAGUUCUUUAAAGAAAUAUCACAGAACUGUUAUAAGUGAAGUGUUUGGAUCCGCAUUGAAAGAAGACGUGCGUUGACAAGAUAGUGAAAGCAUCACACGGCUCCAGUGCAACCGCAAAAUAAAAAUUUGUAGAUAGCGGCAUAACAGCGAUGCGUCCACGAUCACGGAGCACUUGAUACGAAAAUGAAGAACAGCUUUCCCGCAGCUCGGAACGAACAGAAUUGACACAUGAGUGAGUGACACGAUGUGUCAUUCCUUUCACGAAACAACCAGGUCUGCUGGCCGAUGGCCGAAGCUCGAUGUUCGAUUGAAGAGUCUGAGUGGUACCUUCAGCUGUUCCAACAGCCGACCAAUCGCUUCGAUUAUCGUCUACGUUGCCGAGAUGCCACGACUACCAAAGAAUGGACGGAAUCGACGUUAAGUGACGUCAGCGGUGCGAGGGCGAGGACCCCAGCGAUCAACUGCGCAGCCUCAGGGCGAAAUAACGGCGAAGCCAGAAGAGCACAGGUGCAUACGGAAUGUGGGGCACCACGACGCCGACGUCGGCAACGAUACCCGCUGCAGCAGCAGCAGCAGCAGCGUCAGCGCUUUAUGAAGGCGAUGGGCAGCGGCGCUGUAAAGCGUCGAAUGAGCAACGAAACCAGAGCGGAUUGGGACAUAUCAGUAGAUGAACAUGCGUUUGUCUGUGUGCAUGGCCACGAUGACAACGAUAAUGGCUCGGAUUCACCCAAUAUAAUACUUCAGUUACUAGAGGAACAGAACACGUUAUCAAUGGAUGCUGGCCGCUUAUUCAAACCGCAUCAGGGAACCUUUUGAAUGGAUGAUUACAACGUCGACCUGAAAUUCAAAAUAAAGUGGAGUUCUGGCUUGAAGAAUCACCUAGCGGGCGAAUUGCUUGGAGACCGCGUUGUGGAAGGUAGCUCGCACGAAAACGACCUUAACGUAACCGUGGCAUGGACCAGCAGAUCGGUAUAAUGAAGACCCAUCGAUGAAUGUGUCAAUAUGGCGUCUCUGUGCGCACUUGUCGAAUGUCUGCCUUUUGGCCGUGUGCUUUGCGCAUGGAAAAUGUUUAGAAUAAUAGUACAAUGAUAAUUGCUACUUAAAAGUAAUCAUGUUUAGCAAUCAAGGAGAACUUGGGUGGAGCAACGAGCCGGCACAGAAGCGAGAAAAGGGUAAGGACAAGCCGAUCGAUAGCGCGACCGUAAAAAGUUUGCAGUGCAAAUUGCCUUCGAACUAUUCCGGCCCCUUGAGCACGGCGCCAAGUACUAGUAGAGUGGCAUGCCAAUAGAAUCUCUGCUACUACUAGAGAAGGUUCUGUUACGGAAGAAAAUAAUGCAGCGUGCAUCGCUAUUCCCCAUAUUGACGAGAACCUAUCCGACUGGAAACGGUUAUAGAAAGGAAGAAGGGAUCAAGCAAAAACAUCCAGAGUGUGGUUAAUGCACAGCCUGCAGGAACUGCUGCUAACGGUUAAAUGGUAAACGUUGGAGUCGGGAACUCGCGUCUUCCUUCGGUUAGCUCUCGUUCUAUCCAUACGUGGACACCAUGCCCGUGUCAGCUGGACAAUAUCCGAGUCCCACCGCCGUCAAGGGAAUCUAUGAACAAGCUAGAGUAGUCUUACUACUUUUGUAUCGGUUACAGAAUAACUUACAGAAGCACAAUGAACGCUACAGAAAUUGUCGCGGCAGAACUAUUAUGAUAGGGUAAAAUCUGUGAGAGUUCAUACAUAAGUGAGAAUGGUUAAAAUUUGGAUGAGGGUUAUGUGCAUGAACACUGGACCACGAAAGCAGUGGAAACACAAGAGUUUGCAGAAAAGCAGUCUUAUUUUUUAAGACGUUAGACAA